rnacentral:rRNA from 1 species
UACGUAGGGUGCAAGCGUUAAUCGGAAUUACUGGGCGUAAAGCGUGCGCAGGCGGCUUUGCAAGACAGAUGUGAAAUCCCCGGGCUUAACCUGGGAACUGCGUCCGAUACUGGAUGGCUUGAAUCCGGGAGAGGGAUGCAGAAUUCCAGGUGUAGCGGUGAAAUGCGUAGAUAUCUGGAGGAAUACCGGUGGCGAAGGCGGCAUCCUGGACCGGCAUUGACGCUGAGGAGCGAAAGCCAGGGGAGCAAACGGG